UUCCAGGUUGCUGAUAACGCGAGAGGCUUC
rnacentral:sRNA from 1 species